rnacentral:rRNA from 1 species
AUACGGAGGGUGCAAGCGUUAAUCGGAAUUACUGGGCGUAAAGCGUUCGUAGGCGGUUAUUUAAGUUAGAUGUGAAAGCCCCGGGCUUAACCUGGGAACUGCAUUUAAAACUGGAUAACUAGAGUUUAGGAGAGGGAAGUGGAAUUUCAGGUGUAGUAGUGAAAUGCGUAGAGAUCUGAAGGAACACCAGUGGCGAAGGCGACUUCCUGGACUAGAACUGACGCUGAGGAACGAAAGCGUGGGUAGCAAACGGGAUUAGAAACCCCGGUAGUCC